UACGAAGGGGGCUAGCGUUGUUCGGAAUUACUGGGCGUAAAGCGCGCGUAGGCGGUUUUCCAAGUCGGGCGUGAAAGCCCCGGGCUCAACCCGGGAAAUGCGCUCGAAACUUGAAGACUGGAGGCCGGAAGAGGGUAGUGGAAUUCCCAGUGUAGAGGUGAAAUUCGUAGAUAUUGGGAAGAACACCAGUGGCGAAGGCGGCUACCUGGUCCGGAUCUGACGCUGAGGAGCGAAAGCGUGGGUAGCAAACAGG
rnacentral:rRNA from 1 species